rnacentral:rRNA from 1 species
AUUGAACGCUGGCGGCAUGCCUUACACAUGCAAGUCGAACGGCAGCACGGGAGCAAUCCUGGUGGCGAGUGGCGAACGGGUGAGUAAUGUAUCGGAACGUACCUUUCAGUGGGGGAUAACGUAGCGAAAGUUACGCUAAUACCCGCAUAUUCUGUGAGCAGGAAAGCAGGGGAUCGCAAGACCUUGCGCUGAUUGAGCGGCCGAUAUCAGAUUAGCUAGUUGGUGAGGUAACGGCUCACCAAGGCGACGAUCUGUUGCGGGUCUGAGAGGAUGAUCCGCCACACUGGAACUGAGACACGGUCCAGACUCCUACGGGAGGCAGCAGUGGGGAAUUUUGGACAAUGGGCGCAAGCCUGAUCCAGCCAUGCCGCGUGAGUGAAG